GAGAUGGAUUAGUUUCUGAAAAAAAGUGAGAAAAGAAAACCAUUAAGUCCAACUGUCACUCUUCCAACUGAAUAUCGAAACCACUUGGGAAAACAUUUUGAGUGAGGUUUACAGUCAUAAGCAACGUUGGUGUUUUUGAGGUUUGCCUGUGAAUAGCCAUUUAGCUGUGUACCACAUGCUUCCUAGAGAUGUGAUUAAUUGCCAUAUUCUAAAGCUUUCAAAAGUGUUAAGUUGCCUGUUACACCAGGCUAACUUAGUAAAACGUCUCUGUUCAUUCGGAUCAGUAGAUUUAUGUGCUGCAUUAUGGCUUAGUGGACAGAGAAUUCAGAAGACUGGGAUUUCCAUUUGACUUUCCCAAUGACAUGGUGUAUGAACUGGAAUGCUUCACUGAGUAUUUUUAUCUUCAAAUCUUUGUCUGUUACAUAUUGUUUGUGAGAGAGAUUUGGCUCAAAAUCUGUCACCUGUGGACUGCCAAGGUUCAUUUGGCUGAUUGACCAACUUGGCCAACUAGGGAAGGAGCAACAACAGCUCUGCCUGAAGAUCAGCCCAAGAUUUGGUCAAGAGUAAUUUCCCCAUAAGAAAUGGAAGAAGACAGAUCGACUCCUUGAGGCAGCCUUGGUCCACUCUGGUGUCUCCAGGAGGUUUCUCUGUGGUUCUAGAGCGUCUGUAUGAAAACUGAGUUCUCUAAGCUCACUGGUGUAAAGAUGUGUCAGAAGUUCACUGGACUCUUCAGAACAGUGAUCUUUUCAUUACUAUAGUGCUUGACACUGUCAUAUGUGUGUUGUUGUUUUUUUGUCCUUUGUACAACCCUGUGAGGUAAGAAGGGUAGAAUUAUCCUAUUUUACAGAUGAAGUUAAAGUGCCCCAUUUCACAUAGGCUGCCUUUCUCAGGGUCACUUGGCUGACAUGUGGCAGGAGCAUGACAAAGACGUGAGUCCUUCUGAAACCAACCUAGAAGACAGUUUCGAGUGAAGCAUAUUGUAAAAUAAUGUAGCCGCCUUUUGAGAAUCACA